rnacentral:rRNA from 2 species
ACUCAAAGGAAUUGACGGGGGCCCGCACAAGCGGAGGAACAUGUGGUUUAAUUCGAUGAUACGCGAGGAACCUUACCCGGGCUUGAAAUGCAGAUGAUCGAAGUGGAGACACUUUUUCCAGCGAUGGCGUCUGUGUAGGUGCUGCAUGGUUGUCGUCAGCUCGUGCCGUGAGGUGUCGGCUUAAGUGCCAUAACGAGCGCAACCCUCAUUACUAGUUACCAUCAGGUCUAGCUGGGGACUCUAGUGAGACUGCCGGCGUAAGCUGUGAGGAAGGUGGGGAUGACGUCAAAUCAGCACGGCCCUUAUGUCCGGGGCGACACACGUGUUACAAUGGGGAGUACAGCGGGAAGCUACCUGGCGACAGGAUGCCAAUCUUUUAAAACUCUUCUCAGUUCGGAUCGGAGUCUGCAACUCGACUUCGUGAAGCUGGAUUCGCUAGUAAUCGCGCAUCAGCCACGGCGCGGUGAAUACGUUCCCGGGCCUUGUACACACCGCCCGU